CGACAAACAGAAGACUUAGUCUGCUAUACGAAUUGUUAAUAACAGCAUUGUUUUUAAGCGGGUUAUGAAAGUAAAGGAAACAUAUAAAAGGAGGAACAGCAAUUCUCGUUUACCGAUGCACAAUUACAGCAGACGAAGACACACGAAGUAGACGUAAACAUUAGCAGACGUGAGCAGGUGUUGUUUCCCUUUCUCAAAUCAAGUCGUCUAUAGUGAGAGAUAGUGAACUACAGUAUUGGAAGAUGCCUGGAACAGUAUCAACGUACUAUAUAGACCAUAAUCUUGACGAGUAUGACUUCAUGAGUAUGGACUACCACAAACACAUCAGAUCUGCUCACAGCGGGAAGGGGAGGAGCAAGAAGGAAGCCAUGACCAAUACCAACAGAUUUGACCCCUCAGGACAUUGUAGGAAAACAGUACAGAAAUUAAUGAACAAUGCCCAUAAAAGGAAAUGAAAUCAAGAAGUGAACAAUUCCAGGACAUGCAAUACUCAAUGAUUCUUACAACUGGCCAUUUUUAUACUUUUAAGAAAUAUUUUUUAUAUAUUUUUUUAUACUUUUCCAAGUCAUGACAUGUUAGAUGUUUUUUUUGUUUUUGU